GCCUUCGUGGCGUAGUGGUCAGCACGCUGGGCGCGUAAUACAGGGGUCCGUGGUUCGAAUCCCGGCGAGGGCA
rnacentral:tRNA from 1 species